rnacentral:tRNA from 1 species
GCUCCCGUAGUUUAAUUGGAUAAAACGGAGGAUUCCGAUUCCUUUGUUCCAGGUUCGAGUCCUGGCGGGAGCA